rnacentral:lncRNA from 1 species
CCUGUUUCUCACCCGCAAAAAACCCUCCUAUUUGUCUUCUUUCUCAGACCUAGUACAUUGUAGUCAGAUAAACCAUACAUUAGGAAAUCAAAAUCAAAAGAGACAAAAGAGACAGGGGUAAAGGAAUAGAAGCACCAAAAGAGACAUGGGUAAAGGAAUAGAAGCACCUAAUAGAGAUUUUGUCGUGGACCUAUUGAUAUUGCCCAGGAAUGUUUGGUCCCAUCCUGAAGUCACGUCCAGCAACAGAAAUAGGACGAUGGAGGUUAGGUACCCUAUAAUUCCAAAUAUGGCCGAGGAAGAGUUGAAAGAAGGCAACCACAACAAAAACAAUUCGCCCGAACUCAUAAAUAAUGGACAUGUGCAUGAACUUUGCUUGUGAAACUUGUACAGCUGAGAGGAUUCACUACCAAAAUAUAACAUAAAUGAAGUUCAUGCAGUUUCAAUUACUAACAAAAAAACAUGGCGAAGCUGACACAGAAAAUGGCAACAACGCAUAAUAAACUAUUUUCCAUUGGUUAAGAUCCUAGAUAAACAAAAACAUGAAUCCAACCAGGUAAAAUGUGGAAACGUAAGCUACAAAAUUGCAAUUGCUUCAAAAAUAGAAGUUUGGUUGUCUGGUAUUUUCAGUGCUAAAAUUAAUUAUUUAUGAUUGAUGUGCCCAUUUCCCAAUUUGAAUUUCAAACUUAAAGUGGAAUUUUGUUUUUUGAUAUUUUAGUCAACCACUCGUAUUUCCAAAAUUGUGCUAACAAAGAAAACCCCACAGUAAUUGAUAUUGAUUAUUAACAUUUCCAUUUCGAGUUUACAGAAUUUUAUGAAGGGCAAUUUAGUUUCUGUAAUAGCAAUGUAGGAUACAAGAGUUAGCUUGGUAAAUCUAUUUGGAACAAGCUCACAUUCAAGAUGGUGAAAAGAGAUAACCGAAUCAUCUACAAAAUGCAUGGUGAAAAAAGGCGCAACAUUUAUUAUAGUUGUCAUUUGCAAUUACAACCAUAGAUAGAUGAACCAUAGUCCAGAACAGAUCAACGAACAUUUUGAGAUUGCUCUUAAAUUAUUAGCAUUGACUAUACACUCCAGAAUGACAAAAGGCUGGGAUACAUCAAAGCAAUAGAAAAAGAACUAUUGACAUCAAAAUAUUGAAUUGUAUUUGCCAUUAAAUGGAAGGGAAAGGCAUAAAGUAACGCAAUAAAAGUCACUCGUCUACUUCAGCCACCUUAUGCCGCAAAGAUGAAAUAAUUCCAGCUAUUAACCACAUCAAAAGCUCGUAAUGUAAUGAAUUAUGAUCAAUAGAUCGCAUGUACACGCCAGUUAAAAUUUCAUUGCCGCUCAAACUGCAUUUAAUGGCUGGUUUUCAACGACCAAGAGUUCAAGACACAAUAUUUCAACCAUGGGCAGAACUGCAAUAUAGGCAAUGACACAAAUACUGAUAGAUGAGGCAGUACAAUUAUUAUAAUUAACAUAUCCCUUCAACCAAUAGCAAAAGAGGCGUUCACUUAGAAACAUAGAUGAGCUAGUUGACAACCUUGCUCCAAGAAAACAUUUCUCCUGCUACGUACAAUGUAAGCAAGUGGGUCCCAACCAAUUUGCACCAUCACAUUCACUAUAUAACUGAUACAAACAACAUUAACCAAAUCAUUUCUCCUCACGAAUGAAAGCCUAAAAAUUAUUACCACGGGGGACCACAACAAACAAUAAAGUAGUAGAGCAACAAACAACCAAACAAGAUAUGACAAAGAACAUAUCUUUAUUCGAGUGCUUGAACCAAGAGCCGACAAAACGGCAGGGUAGUUAUUUAAGAUGCCCACAACUCAAAUUGUUCCCAUGGUGAGGUUGAAGAAUCUUUCCAAUCUAAAUUUACAUGUCGAGUGAUAGACCAAAACUCCAUUCAUUUAACAAACUAAUCAGAACCCCAUUCGAUUUCUAGCUAUUUAAGAUCAACUACUUACAGUCUGUCUAAGAACUAAACCAUUUUCUUAACAACCUAACUAUGGGACAUCAACCUAGAACUGUAAGGUAGAAUGCCAACCAAAGCAUGCAAAUGGUUAACCUGAAGAAACACGUAAUUUGGAAGAUGAUCACAUGGAAGCGCAACAACCAUAGUAGACCAUGUUGCCUUGAAUCAAUAUUAAAUCACCAACCUUGUAUCAGCUUUGUAUUGUUCACCUGCAUAGGCCGCAGUUGCAUAAGCCCAUAGAUAUAGUACAAGCUGAGGCUUGCUCUGAUUGUACUCAUCAGCAUUCUUAGAUAC